UUAAAAUUAUUCUUCUUGUUCGUAAUGUAACAGCGAACAACACAUCGCGUUUCCAAUUAUUAUUAUUUUUUUUUCAUUUGCACCAUCGUAUUUAUUUGUUAAUUAUUGUAAAAGUUUGUAUUGUGUGCCAAUAUGUGCAAGUUAUUAAAACAAAAUUAGUUACCAUCAAGCGUCUGCGUGUAAAUUUAGAAUUAUGUUAGCUUUAAACAGCGGUUGGCCAGUCUGCUCUCCGCGUGAUUAAAUUAUUCUCUAGAAAUAUGAAAGAAUUUCGAAUAAACAAUCCUUUAAUUAGCAUGGAAAUAGGUGGUCGCUAAUCCCGAAGACGCGAAACUGAACAAAAAGUAUAAAGUGAAGUACGACGACGUUGAUAUCGAACGAUUGAGAAGG
rnacentral:misc_RNA from 1 species